rnacentral:rRNA from 1 species
CACAAGCGGUGGAUGAUGUGGAUUAAUUCGAUGCAACGCGAAAACCUUACCUACCCUUGACAUGUCCGGAAUCCCGAAGAGAUUUGGGAGUGCUCGCAAGAGAGCCGGAACACAGGUGCUGCAUGGCUGUCGUCAGCUCGUGUCGUGAGAUGUUGGGUUAAGUCCCGCAACGAGCGCAACCCUUAUCAUUAGUUGCUACGCAAGGGCACUCUAAUGAGACUGCCGGUGACAAACCGGAGGAAGGUGGGGAUGACGUCAAGUCCUCAUGGCCCUUAUGGGUAGGGCUUCACACGCCAUACAAUGGUCGGUACAGAGGGUUGCCAAGCCGCGAGGUGGAGCCAAUCCCAGAAAGCCGAUCGUAGUCCGGAUUGUUCUCUGCAACUCGAGAGCAUGAAGUCGGAAUCGCUAGUAAUCGCGGAUCAGCAUGUCGCGGUGAAUACGUUCCCGGGUCUU